CACGUAGGGGGCGAGCGUUGUCCGGAUUUAUUGGGCGUAAAGAGCUCGUAGGCGGCUAAGUAAGUCGGGUGUGAAAACUCCAGGCUCAACCUGGAGACGCCACCUGAUACUGCUUUGGCUAGAGUCCGGUAGGGGAGCAUGGAAUUCCUGGUGUAGCGGUGAAAUGCGCAGAUAUCAGGAGGAACACCGGCGGUGUAGACGGCUUGCUAGACCAUAACUGACGCUGAGGCACGAAAGCGUGGGUAGCAAACAGG
rnacentral:rRNA from 1 species